rnacentral:lncRNA from 1 species
CUUGAUAGAACUAAACUAAUGAUAGUCCUCUCUACAAUCAUAUUCUUUUGCUCUGUAGAUAUAUUUAAAGCAGUGAAGUGAGCAUCUUUUAUGGAGGAGAGACACAUGUGAAAGUGGAAACCCUGAAAGUGUAUGCCUUCUAAAAUUUUACGUCGCGUGUGUGUCACUGGGUGUCUUCCUUUGAGUGAAUAAGGAGAACAUCUUUGCUGCUCCAGUCCACAUCAGCUCAGAUGACACUUCAUCUGCACUGGCAAACCAGGAAGUGGAUUGAGCAGUCCACUGUCACCUUUUAUAACAUGCAUCUCUUUCACCCGCUCAAGGUUGGAGUACCCAGUUGUGUCCUUGGAGGUCCUUGUAUUGUGGGACUGCCAGACCUCCUGAGUCACAUGACUCACUGUCUGAUUUCCGAGUCAAGCUUUUCAUUUCCUAAAUGAUAAGGGAUAAAAGAUAAAAUCUGGCACACACAGGUAAUCUUUGCCAUCUUAAUAUUUGUUAAGCUUUUUGAUUUACUGAGAAGUUAAAGUCACUGCAGGUCACAAAACCUGCACAUUAGAUCUGCUUCAUAAACAUUCUGAGUGAAUGCUUUUGUCAUUUAUUUCACCAUCUUUAAACGAAUGUAGCUGAAGAAUUGCACCUCCAAUUUAUAAAUCUUUCAAUUUAUUUCUGUUUUCAGCUUAUAGGAUGGGACCAUAUCCAGCUAGAUCUAGCCAUUUGUGCAUGACUAUAGAAGAAAGCUAACAUAUUUCUUGCAUAAUGUAGACUUGAUCCAGCUUACAUUUGUUAAAUCAUCCAAAAGGAAAUAUUCU